rnacentral:rRNA from 1 species
UACGGAGGGUGCAAGCGUUAUCCGGAUUCACUGGGUUUAAAGGGCGCGUAGGCGGGCAAGCAAGUCGAAGGUGAAAUCCCACGGCUCAACCGUGGAAGUGCCCCCGAUACUGCUUGUCUUGAGGGAGAUAGGGGCGUGCGGAACUUCCGGUGGAGCGGUGAAAUGCGUAGAUAUCGCUUGGAACGCCGAAGGUGAAAACAGGCUGCUGGGGUUGCGCCGACGCUGAGACACGAAAGCCAGGGGAGCAAACGGG